rnacentral:rRNA from 1 species
UACAGAGGGCUCAAGCGUUGUUCGGAUUCAUUGGGCGUAAAGGGUGCGUAGGCGGCGCGGUAAGUCGGAUGUGAAAUCUCGGGGCUUAACUCCGAAACUGCAUUCGAUACUGCCGUGCUUGAGGACUGGAGAGGAGACUGGAAUUUACGGUGUAGCGGUGAAAUGCGUAGAUAUCGUAAGGAAGACCAGUGGCGAAGGCGGGUCUCUGGACAGUUCCUGACGCUGAGGCACGAAGGCCAGGGGAGCAAACGGG